AUAAAGCCAUGAGGUUGCUUCUGGAAGGCUGAAAUUGCGCCAAAAAAAUUGUGACGUGUUCGUGCUGUUUAGCAGCAGCUGGCUUGUUCGGAAUAUCUGUCCAGCUCAAAAAUGGCUCCAGUGGUUAGAAACAGGUGUUGGAUGGCAGAAUGGUUUUAUGGAAACUUCAAGCAUAUGACAGCUUAAUUUUCUUCCACAAGGCUGUGAGACCAGGUUGCAGGUGAUGCUAAAGUUAUCAGAUCUACAGCACCAGGUGACGUACAGCCAACACUUACAGUGUCUACUUCAUUGUCAAAAGAAAUGUUUUUGUGCCUCCUUUGUUAAACCAGAUCUAGCAAUGUGAAGCGAGAGGCCAUAAUGUACAGAGGUCUUCACCUCGACUGCGUCUGCUGACAUCCAGGCUGCAAGUUGAUUUUGUUUUAUAUACAGAUGUUCAAGCACUGGACAAAAUGUCUACAUGAAACAUUUCUCCGUUACAUCAGCCCAGCAUAUGUGACCGUGUAUGGAGAGAUGCCGUAUUUUGAAUAGAUGCUCGCUUCACCUCUACGCAGAAGAAAUGCUUCCACGCUGUCACUAGAUGAUUCUCACUCAUUACAAUGGCACCAUGAUGACUGUUUUCAGAUUACAGAGAACCUAAUCCAACGCCUUUAUGCAACUAUUGAAUAAUUGGAACACAACUUGUGACUUUAGCCCAGUGACAUUAAGCUAGGUUCUCUCAUAGCUGUCUCUCUUUUAAAGAUGAACAAUUAAACUUAUAUACACACACGGUGCGCACAGGGAUAAAAGGUUAUGGCAGAAGUGCAGCAUUUUUCUUCGACUACCUUGAACGAUAAACAUGGAUGUAAUUUGGAUUUAUGACCUCUGGCUGCUAUUUUAAGUGUUGUGUUGCUGUGUGUCAAUAAAGCUUUGACUUCUUA